UGUCUUUUUGUUAUCCAGUUGUAGCAGUUCUUUAUCUAUUCUGGGCAUGAAAUCAUUGUCUAUGUGAUUUGCAACUUUUAUGUCUCAUUCUGUGUUUGGUCUUUUUAUUUUCUUGAUAAUAUCUUUGAUGCACAAAAGGCUUGCAUCUUUAGCCCAAUUUAUCUAUUUUUCCUUUUUCUUUCUCAUGUAUUUGGGUCAUACCUGAGAAUCCAUGGCACAUUUGAGGUCAUUAAGUUUUACCCCUAUGUCUUUUUCUAAGAUGUUUUUAUGGUUAUAGAUCUUAUAAUUAACUCACUGAUCCAUUUUUAGAUAAUUGUUUGAUAUGGUUGGAAAUACAGUUCUCUAAGUUUAUUGUCUCGCAUGUGGUUACCUAGUUGUUUCUGCACCUUUAUUUGAGGGACAGUGAGCUCCUUAAUGAGGAGCACAGAAGACAUUGCUUUGGGACACAAUGUUGUCAGGGGAGUUGUGUUCAUCUCUACUUCUUUAUUUUUUGUACAGUUUGGUUCUCUGCUGGACAUACUAGAUAUAGAAGUCUUUGUUCAUUCUCUUGGUUCUGGUUUGGCUGACCUGUCAGCUGGAGCUGGAGGACAUGCCUUGCAGGGGAGUGAGCCCCAUGUGAAAGAGCAGGGCUCAGCAGAGUGAAAGCAGCUGAGACCCAGAGAAGCCAGUGAGGUGUGACUCUUAGAAGCCAAAGACCAAUAGGCAGUAUCUCUGUGUUCAUUUCUACUGGGAAAUGUUUAUGCAGCGUGGAGAGAGUCACGUUUCCUAAUGAGAGAUGGAAAGCAUUUGACUACCAGAAAAAGUGUUGAAAUUCUGCUGGUAUGAUCAUGGUGCUGCAGGUGGAGUCUACUCACUCAUCUCUUUCCCCAUCAGCUGACCUGUCAGCUGGAGCUGGAAGACAUGCCUGGCAGGGGAGUGACCCCCAUGUGAAAGAGCAAGACUCAGCAGAGUGAAAGCAGCUGAGACCCAGAGAAGCCAGUGAGGUCUGACUCUUAGAAGCCAAAGACCAGCAGGUGGGUGUCCUCAGGGGCAAAUGGACUACACUGGUACCCAUUGCCGUGGGUUGGAAAAAGGUUGCUCCGUCAAGCUCUGGCUCAAUAAAACUCAGUUGGUCAAGAUUCUUGCCUCAGUCUUUCAUUCUGGAUAACCAGCAUGAGUCCUGCAAAGCCCUUUAGUAAUCUAUUGCCUGCCUAGUUGAUGUGUGCCUC